CGCGGCAGCUCGAGUCCCGGGGCCAGGGGCUCUGCAGCUGCCUCCCUCGCUCGCUCCCUCCCUCGUCCGCCCGCCCGCGAUCUUCGUCUUCCUCGGCUGACAGUUACCGUUCCAAGUGACCCUGAUUCACCAUGUGCUGGGAUGGUGGUGUCAGGUCACAAAACUUCACCUGGAGUUUGCAGCUGGCUAAAAUAAGUAAGCUUACAUGCUGCGUUUUCCCAAGUUGGGAGAAAUAUUUAAUAGAGAUGGACUGAAGCUGAUCAUCUACCUCCACAAAUAGCAAGCAACAGAACCAACAUGGAGCAAGUACCACAUUUCUACAGGUUUUGACCUUUCUAUAGAGAACUGAUUCUGGAGAACAACUUAACUUCUGUGAUUGAAAACCCCUGUGUUCUACGUGAAAAGAGAUGGGAGAUUAAGGCUAUAACAGUUAACAUAGGCUGUACUGGUACUAUGUGAUAACAACUUGUUGGCCUCAAUUGAACAAGCAUUCUUGUCCCCUGAAGGAUGGACAAAUGGGCUGGAGAAUGAUUGUUAAGAGGAGGUUAUAUGACUGGUUAUUCAAAGAAAGAGGACUUUCCCGUUCUGAAUACAUGCCACCACUAUUCAUGGGUGGGAAAGAAUUGGUAGGAGUUUUUUAUCCAGGGCUUCAAGUGAGACUUCACAGUAUUUCUGAAGUAACUCUUAAGAGAGCUUGGUUCCUCUUUGGCUCACUGAAAAGGAUUCCUGCAUGCUGAGUCUGUGAUGCUACAAGGAAUCAUUUCAGAGAAUUACAAGGAUUCUUGUUGGCAUUGCCACUGUCCCAAGCUUUAAGUCUCAACUCUGCCUACCUGGAUCUACACACAGUACCUGCUUGAUCUUCCCUGCCUUUGCUGAUCUCCUGGACUUUGCCUAUCUACAUGGACCCAUGGUACCUGCUUGUUCCUCCCUGCCUUUGCUGAUCUCCUGGAUUCUGGACUUUUGUUUUUCUACUGGAACUGAUUUGCUCCUCCCUAUAUUAAUUGAUCCUACUCUGUCCUUAACCCCUUGCCUGCCUAUACUUUUGGUAUCUAGCGAAUGCCGGUGGAUUAACUGAAUACCCUUCCCUGCCCUCUCCUGCCUACCACAUUCCAUGACACCCAAGCCCCCCUGCAUGACAGUGGGAAUUUAUUGGCUUUAAAAAAAUAAUAAAUAUGAUAAGAAAAGUGCCUGUCAUUAUAGAAUUCAUUUUCUUUUUAAAGCUUAAAUUCAUUAUUUUUAAAUCUCCCUAAAAUUAACUAGACCUCCUAAUGUGACUUUUAGCUGCCCUCUCCUCCCCAUUUUGUAGUCAAGUAUAUAGCAUAAGAUAUGUUUUGAGCAGGAUUCUGUAAUAUUCAUGAAGCCAUGAUGCUUUCUAGAGGGACAAAGUUCAUGUCUUAGGCUUCCUUUACAUAUCCUACAAGGUACAAUGUUAACACAUUAGGAGAUUUUUCAGUAAAUACCACUUUGGUCUGCAUAUAAGUUGUACUUUCCCAAAAAAUCAGACAAAACCUGAGUGUGGUUUAUAUCUUAGUGAGAACAUAUUAUUAGUAAGAUAUCUAGACUUGUUCUAUAAUUUCAUUAGUAUUGGGAACUCCCUCUGUUAGAUGCAGGUUGGCCUCUGCAGCUAGAAGACUGAGAUGAAGUCUAUGACCCUUCUUUCCCAGGGUCCCACAGCCAGCAUGUAUGAGGGACAGGACUUGAACCUGGGCCUUCUUCGCACACUGUCCACUAUACCAAGCUGUUGUUAGUGAGAGAAUUCAAUAAAAGUGACAAAGAUGGAAGGAAAAUCAAAAUGAGCAAAGUAAAUAAAUAAUUGUAUUUGAAUAGAAGGAAAUGUUUUUUAAAAAACCUUUCAUAGUAAAGAUUUUAAUACAAUAAUUUUGUAUAACUGUUAUUGAAUUUUUGCCAAUUCUUUUUUAAAAUCUCAUUUUAAGAAGCCAGUCUUUAUUUGAGUCCAGCCUAUAUUCUGAUAAAUAUGGUACAAGUUCAAUGGAAUUGAACUAGAGACCAGUUCAAGGAGAUAUGAGGAUGAGGUGAUGAGUUGUAUUCUAAUCUCAACUUUAAAUUUUGCCUGGAACUGCCUCUGGUAUUAAACUGCCAGAGCCAAAUCUGAAUGAAAAUCCUUUUUGUUCCAAACCUUUUACUAUUCAAGCCGCAUUUCCUAUUGUGCCCUUGAUGAAAAUGUAAUAUGAAAUGUUUCUGUAUGACAAUUAUGAAGAAUUUUUAUUUAUUCAUGUUUCCAUAGUUAUCACAUAAUUUGUCUUCAUAAAAUGUUUAUGCUCAUUCAUUAUUGUACUUUAUUUGAGGUAAGGGACUGUGUCUUAGUUCAUCUUUGUAUCCCUGAUGCCUGGCACAGUGCUUUGAAUUACUGU